rfam:Oryza sativa (indica cultivar-group) chromosome 2, whole genome shotgun sequence.
AAAAAAACAAACCGUGUGUUUCCAUGUCCAAUAUUUAACCGUCCGUCUUAUUUGAAAAAAUUAUGAAAAAAUUAAAAAGAUAACUCACGCAUAAAGUAUUAAUCAUGUUUUAUCAUCUAACAACAAUGAAAAUACUAAUUAUAAAAAAAAUUUCAUAUAAGACGGACAGUUAAACAUUGGACACGAAAACAUAGAGUUUGUCUUUUU